UGGGGAAUAUUGGUCAAUGGGCGAAAGCCUGAUCCAGCCAUGCCGCGUGUGUGAAGAAGGCCUUUUGGUUGUAAAGCACUUUAAGCGAGGAGGAGGCUACUUGGAUUAAUACUCUAGGAUAGUGGACGUUACUCGCAGAAUAAGCACCGGCUAACUCUGUGCCAGCAGCCGCGGUAAUACAGAGGGUGCGAGCGUUAAUCGGAUUUACUGGGCGUAAAGCGUGCGUAGGCGGCUUUUUAAGUCGGAUGUGAAAUCCCUGAGCUUAACUUAGGAAUUGCAUUCGAUACUGGGAAGCUAGAGUAUGGGAGAGGAUGGUAGAAUUCCAGGUGUAGCGGUGAAAUGCGUAGAGAUCUGGAGGAAUACCGAUGGCGAAGGCAGCCAUCUGGCCUAAUACUGACGCUGAGGUACGAAAGCAUGGGGAGCAAACAGG
rnacentral:rRNA from 1 species